CUCAAAAGACAAGCACUUGAGCAGAAGGGUCUUCUCCAGUUGCAGUACAGCCUCCCAGUGUAAGAGCAGAGGAGCUCACUAGCUUCCCAAUCCCGAAGAAGUCUUUCUUGACUUCCACAUAUACGGAACCCUCUCUACACUGAGCCGCUAUGCUGUUGGGAGGUACAAAGUGACGCGGAUCAAAAGGGAUGACUGGCUGCUGUGGUUCUUCUGGCAGGCUUGGAAACUGCCAUGUCAGUUUUGUCA